AACUUUUAUUUUUGCACACUUCUUUUAUCGAAACUAUUCAUUUUGUCACCUAUCUAACCCACUGAUAGAAUAAAAUACCAGCAUUGAUUCCCUGUUGGAUACUAAUUAGUACUUUGUACCUGCCCAUAAAGGUUGGUUCAUGAGAAUAUUAGUUUCCUAACUUGCAAUGAGUUGAUAAAAAAACAAAAAAAAACAUCGCAUUGUCAAC
rnacentral:lncRNA from 1 species